UUAAAAUUAAAUGGCGAUUGUCGGUAUGGUCGCUUGUUAACCCCAGGGCUUUCGUUCCAGCGAAGUGACUAGACCGAACACUCGUGCUAUAAUUUUAGAAU
rnacentral:pre_miRNA from 1 species